rnacentral:rRNA from 1 species
CUAAUACAUGCAAGUCGAACGCACUGACGUCACCGAAGCUGCUUGCAGUGGACGUUGAUUGACGUGAGUGGCGGACGGGUGAGUAACACGUGGGUAACCUACCCUUAAGUGGGGGAUAACAUUUGGAAACAGAUGCUAAUACCGCAUAACCAUUCAGACCACAUGGUCUGAAUGUAAAAGACGGCCUUUGGCUGUCACUUUUGGACGGACCCGCGGCGUAUUAGUUAGUUGGUAAGGUAACGGCUUACCAAGACAAUGAUACGUAGCCGACCUGAGAGGGUAAUCGGCCACAUUGGGACUGAGACACGGCCCAAACUCCCUACGGGAGGCAGCAGUAGGGAAUCUUCCACAAUGGACGAAAGUCUGAUGGAGCAACGCCGCGUGAGUGAAGAAGGUUUUAGGAUCGUAAAACUCUGUUGUUGGAGAAGAACAGGGACUAGAGUAACUGUUAGUCCUUUGACGGUAUCCAACCAGAAAGCCACGGCUAACUACGUGCCAGCAGCCGCGGUAAUACGUAGGUGGCAAGCGUUGUCCGGAUUUAUUGGGCGUAAAGCGAGCGCAGGCGGUUUUUUAAGUCUGAUGUGAAAGCCUUCGGCUUAACCGAAGAAGUGCAUUA